AUGAGCAAAAGAAUGUUCCUAAUAUUGCUUUGUUCCUAAUAUUGAUAAUUUGCCACUUGAAAAUGUAGGUGGGAAUGAAGGAAUACUUCCCCCUCACCCCAGAAGAGAAUAUACAGAAUUUAGCAGAAAAUGAAUACGACCUCAAAUUCACAGUUUCUUAAGUAUGGAGCUUAUGGAAACUCAAGAGCCUUCAGAAAAUGAUGUGAACUCAGUCAAGAACACUGGUGAAAGUGAGAAGUUUUAGGAACCACACUAUUUCCACAGCUGGUAACAAGUCGCAAAUAAAUUUUUCACCGAGCUGUUGCUACCCAUGUGAGAGUAAAAAGAGUACUUAAAUCAGUGCUGCUUUCCUUGAUGGCUCUAUUGAUCCAAAAGCCCAUUGAAGUCAAUAGGAUUUUGUCUUUGGCAGAAAUGUUGUACUUAGAUUAUCUCCAUAAGAAAGUACAAAAAAAAAAAACAACAACCAUUGUCUAAAUAGCUCAUUUACUUUCAAACCACUAAGCCAGGUUUGUUUAAAACAUAUUAGAAAUUUUACUAAUCUUUAAAGUGGAUUUGGCACAUUGUGAAUAACAGUGGUAUAAUACAUCAAAGAAGAGAUGACUUGUGUAUGUGAUAUUUGAGUUCCCUCUCUUUAUUGCAAUAAUUUCCUUUGGGUUCUUGUCAGCUGGGUUCCUUUAAAAUAGUAAUACAAUAGCUCCCAAGUUUCCCUGGCUAGGAGAUCACAAUGAACCAGUCCUGAAGCCUUUCUUCUUGGAAUGCCAAGGCAGAUCUGAUUACUCUAGAGCCCCGACUUCAUUUUCAGGGCAGAAGCAAAUGUUUCUCAGUGUGGGACACCAGUCAGAGC